rnacentral:rRNA from 1 species
AGAGUUUGAUCCUGGCUCAGGAUGAACGCUGGCGGCGUGCCUAACACAUGCAAGUCGAGCGAUCUUCUUCGGAAGAGAGCGGCGGACGGGUGAGUAACGCGUGGGUAACCUGCCCUAUACACACGGAUAACAUACCGAAAGGUAUGCUAAUACGAGAUAAUAUAAGAAAUUCACAUGUUUUUCUUAUCAAAGCUGAGGCGGUAUAGGAUGGACCCGCGUCUGAUUAGCUAGUUGGUAAGGUAAUGGCUUACCAAGGCGACGAUCAGUAGCCGACCUGAGAGGGUGAUCGGCCACAUUGGAACUGAGACACGGUCCAAACUCCUACGGGAGGCAGCAGUGGGGAAUAUUGCACAAUGGGCGAAAGCCUGAUGCAGCAACGCCGCGUGAGCGAUGAAGGCCUUCGGGUCGUAAAGCUCUGUCCUCAAGGAAGAUAAUGACGGUACUUGAGGAGGAAGCCCCGGCUAACUACGUGCCAGCAGCCGCGGUAAUACGUAGGGGGCUAGCGUUAUCCGGAUUUACUGGGCGUAGAGGGUGCGUAGGUGGUUUCUUAAGUCAGGAGUGAAAGGCUACGGCUCAACCGUAGUAAGCUCUUGAAACUGGGAAACUUGAGUGCAGGAGAGGAAAGUGGAAUUCCUAGUGUAGCGGUGAAAUGCGUAGAUAUUAGGAGGAACACCAGUAGCGAAGGCGGCUUUCUGGACUGUAACUGACACUGAGGCACGAAAGCGUGGGGAGCAAACAGGAUUAGAUACCCUGGUAGUCCACGCCGUAAACGAUGAGUACUAGGUGUCGGGGGUUACCCCCCUCGGUGCCGCAGCUAACGCAUUAAGUACUCCGCCUGGGGAGUACGCUCGCAAGAGUGAGACUCAAAGGAAUUGACGGGGACCCGCACAAGUAGCGGAGCAUGUGGUUUAAUUCGAAGCAACGCGAAGAACCUUACCUAAGCUUGACAUCCUUUUGACCGAUGCCUAAUCGCAUUUUUCCCUUCGGGGACAGAAGUGACAGGUGGUGCAUGGUUGUCGUCAGCUCGUGUCGUGAGAUGUUGGGUUAAGUCCCGCAACGAGCGCAACCCUUGCCUUUAGUUGCCAGCAUUAAGUUGGGCACUCUAGAGGGACUGCCAGGGAUAACCUGGAGGAAGGUGGGGAUGACGUCAAAUCAUCAUGCCCCUUAUGCUUAGGGCUACACACGUGCUACAAUGGGUGGUACAGAGGGCAGCCAAGUCGUGAGGCCGAGCUAAUCCCUUAAAGCCAUUCUCAGUUCGGAUUGUAGGCUGAAACUCGCCUACAUGAAGCUGGAGUUACUAGUAAUCGCAGAUCAGAAUGCUGCGGUGAAUGCGUUCCCGGGUCUUGUACACACCGCCCGUCACACCAUGGGAGUUGGGGGCGCCCGAAGCCGGUUAGCUAACCUUUUGGAAGCGGCCGUCGAAGGUGAAACCAAUAACUGGGGUGAAGUCGUAACAAGGUA